rnacentral:rRNA from 1 species
AUUGAACGCUGGCGGCAUGCCUUACACAUGCAAGUCGAACGGUAGCAGGUCUUCGGAUGCUGACGAGUGGCGAAUGGGUGAGUAAUACAUCGGAACGUGCCCGAUCGUGGGGGAUAACGCAGCGAAAGCUGUGCUAAUACCGCAUACGAUCUACGGAUGAAAGCGGGGGAUCUUCGGACCUCGCGCGGACGGAGCGGCCGAUGGCAGCUUAGGUAGUUGGUGGGGUAAAGGCUCACCAAGCCUGCGAUCUGUAGCUGGUCUGAGAGGACGACCGGCCACACUGGGACUGAGACACGGCCCAGACUCCUGCGGGAGGCAGCAGUGGGGAAUUUUGGACAAUGGGCGCAAGCCUGAUCCAGCCAUGCCGCGUGCAGGAUGAAGGCCUUCGGGUUGUAAACUGCUUUUGUACGGAACGAAAAGUCUCUUUUUAAUAAAGAGGGAUCAUGACGGUACCGUAAGAAUAAGCACCGGCUAACUACGUGCCAGCCGCCGCAGUAA